UUCCUACGGGGGGCUGCAGUGGGGAAUAUUGGACAAUGGGGGAAACCCUGAUCCAGCAAUGCCGCGUGUGUGAAGAAGGCCUGCGGGUUGUAAAGCACUUUCGGUGGGGAGGAAAAGCUGAGAGCUAAUACCUUUCAGUGUUGACGUUACCCAAAGAAGAAGCACCGGCUAACUCUGUGCCAGCAGCCGCGGUAAUACAGAGGGUGCAAGCGUUAAUCGGAAUUACUGGGCGUAAAGCGCACGUAGGUGGGUUGAUAAGUCGGGUGUGAAAUCCCUUGGCUCAACCUAGGAAUUGCAUUCGAUACUGUCUGACUAGAGUAUGGUAGAGGGGGGUAGAAUUCCCGGUGUAGCGGUGAAAUGCGUAGAUAUCGGGAGGAAUACCAGUGGCGAAGGCGGCCCCCUGGACCAAUACUGACACUGAGGUGCGAAAGCGUGGGUAGCAAACAGGAUUAGAUACCCUUGUAGUCCCC
rnacentral:rRNA from 1 species